rnacentral:rRNA from 1 species
AGUGAACGCUGGCGGUAGGCCUAACACAUGCAAGUCGAACGGCAGCACAGUAAGAGCUUGCUCUUACGGGUGGCGAGUGGCGGACGGGUGAGGAAUACAUCGGAAUCUACUUUUUCGUGGGGGAUAACGUAGGGAAACUUACGCUAAUACCGCAUACGACCUACGGGUGAAAGCAGGGGAUCUUCGGACCUUGCGCGAUUGAAUGAGCCGAUGUCGGAUUAGCUAGGUGGCGGGGUAAAGGCCCACCAAGGCGACGAUCCGUAGCUGGUCUGAGAGGAUGAUCAGCCACCCUGGAACUGAGACACGGUCCAGACUCCUCCGGGAGGCAGCAGUGGGGAAUAUUGGACAAUGGGCGCAAGCCUGAUCCAGCCAUCCCGCGUGGGUGAAGAAGGCCUUCGGGUUGUAAAGCCCUUUUGUUGGGAAAGAAAAGCAGCAGGUUAAUACCCCGCUGUUCUGACGGUACCCAAAGAAUAAGCACCGGCUACCUUCG